rnacentral:rRNA from 1 species
UACAGAGGGGGCAAGCGUUGUUCGGAAUUACUGGGCGUAAAGGGCGCGUAGGCGGCCUGCUAAGUCGAACGUGAAAUCCCCGGGCUCAACCCGGGAACUGCGUCCGAUACUGGCAGGCUUGAAUCCGGGAGAGGGAUGUGGAAUUCCAGGUGUAGCGGUGAAAUGCGUAGAUAUCAGGAGGAACACCGGUGGCGAAGGCGGGUCUCUGGGCCGAUACUGACGCUGAGGAGCGAAAGCGUGGGGAGCGAACAGG